CAAUGACUGACGUCUCUCUGCGUGUCUUCUAACCAAUCAGUUCAAAGCCUUCUGACCGUUUAGUGAAGUUCAACGUAAACGUUAGCGCCGAAACGUCGUACGAGGACCGCGACACACUGGGAGCAGGAGGAGAGUGAUGUACAGGAUCUUCAUGGACAUUUUGAACGAUGGACUGGCUUGUUGGCUGGUUGACUGAUCGGGCUGCAGCUACAGAAGACCAAUGUUUGGAUAUCUAUUUAUUUGUUUAGUUCUGCCUGGAUGCCAUUUUCUGAGUGAAACACGAGUUUGGAAAGAAACAUCACAAGCAGAAGGUAAUGAUAAGACAACAAGUGACGUAUGAUACGAAUCAGAAUGAAAACGCUUCAACCCCAUCAGUAGCUGGAUCUUCAGUACUGAUGCGGUUGAUGUAAGCAGCUCCAGAGAAUCAGAGAAAGAGGCCGGAAGGACUUCUGAAGCAGUGUUUUGAUCCUCAGCAACACAGAAACUCUCCACCGAAACCAGACUGAUGAAAGUCGGUGAAGGUUCACAACAUGCAGACACCAUCUACCGCACACGCCAUCGGUCUGUGUAACCAAGAGACAGCAAUAGUAUGACCAUAGGUCAGUGUUUAUCACAGCCUUGUCACCAUCUAGUGGGGAAAACAAAUCCUGCAGCCAAAUUGUCUUUGUACAGAUGUAGCCAAGGCUGGAUAACCAACUGACUGGGCAAAGCAGGAAACUGCCCUGGGACCCCAGACCCACAGGGGUACCUUAAGUUCCAGGUUUUAAAACAUGCCAAACUUUCCAAAAAAAAAACCAUUAUACAAAACACAUUCG